rnacentral:tmRNA from 1 species
GGGGAUGAAAGGAUUUCGACGGGGGUUUGGAAGCAGGAUAAGCGAGCCGAGCUGAGGAAUCUCGUAAAAGCCUCAAAUUGUCUAAAAUAAACGACAACUCUAAUUACGAACUUCAGGCUGCUUAAGUAGCCUGCAUCGGAACCGGGAGGACCGCGGCCCGGGGACGGUGUCAUUUUAGCGGUGCACGUGAACAGGGGGCCGUUCCUCCUCCUGUCAUGAAGUAGGAACUACCAAAGGCUCGAGCCUGCCGACCGGCGCCUGCCCGCGGGAACCUCAAUAGACCGGCUACGCUCGUAGAAAGUGCUGUGGAGAACAGCUCGGACGCGGGUUCGAUUCCCGCCAUCUCCACCA